rnacentral:misc_RNA from 1 species
AAUAUGUCGAACUAGUUUAAAUAUUUUUGUGUUUGUGACAUGUUGGUAAAGUUGGCGCGGAAAAACUCCUCUCAGUAUUUAUCGAAUAGAAAUAUUUGUGGGCGAAAAGAAACGAAGUAUUUAAUUGUUGAAAUGUUUCGAACAGUAAAAGCCAUACUGUGGUUCUCUAAUGGUAGAAAUUGUUCAUCCCCACUGAAUUUAUAGUAGAAUUCCGAUGAUAUGGCAUGUUUGGAACUUUGGCAAUGCGGGAUUGUCUGACUGUAUCCGCAGUGCAGAGAAAAUGGAGAACAUGAUUUCGCAAACGGUAGUAAUGAAGCUUAUUAGCAACAAUGAAACGAAUGAAUCUGGACUCCGGAGAUAGACUGCAUUAAGAGACAUGUUUGCAGAAUUUAAAAGAGUUCAAAUCAAAAAUGUAGAUCACGGUCACAAAAUGGGUUGUUUUGGGAGCAAAGAUAAGUUGAGUAAAGAGGACAUGGAUUUCCUCAAGUCACACACAAGAUAUGAUGAAGCAACCAUAAAGGAAUGGUACAAAGGGUUUAAACAAGACUGCCCGAAUGGUAGGUUAACGCCAGCGAAAUUCGUCGACAUGUACAAAAUGUUCUUCCCCUCUGGCAACGCGGAGGAAUUCUGUGAUCACGUCUUCCGUACAUUCGACAUGGACAAGAAUGGCUACAUCGAUUUCAAGGAGUUUCUGUUGGCCAUUGAUGUUACAUCUAGUGGUACGCCAGAAGAAAAAUUGAAAUGGGCUUUCCGCAUGUACGAUGUUGAUGGAAAUGGCGUCAUCGACAUUCAGGAAAUGACAAAAAUUGUGCAGGCGAUAUACGACAUGCUGGGCGCGUGUUCAAGUAAUAGACCGGCAGACAGUGCGGAGGAAAGAGCGAAAAACAUUUUCGCAAAGAUGGACGAGAAUAACGACGGUCAGCUAACUCAAGAAGAAUUUCUGAAAGGUUGCCUCCAAGACGAGGAGCUGUCAAAGAUGCUGGCCCCCUAAUUCGCAUACCAUUUUUCGGGAUCAGUCAUCGAUACGCUACUACCAAAAGACGUUCGGGCAACAUCGACAAAAACAAACGACAAACGAACGAUUUUUAUUACGAAACCUAACCUCACUCACGAUACGGCCGCUACGGCUUGAUCGGACGCCUACGGUUACCGGACAAAAACGAACACGAAGAACACGUUCGAACAAUAAUCUCAAAUCGAGUCGUCGAAUCACGUAAUUUUGAGAACAGUUAACUCACCGGAAAAAACGAUUCGUCGAUGGAACACGAACUAUGCCGAGAGAAGAAAGAAGAACUCAUCGGACGCGGCGGCAGCUUUUGAAAAUCUCGAAAUGGUGGGAAGAUUAUCGACGGAGAAAAUGUUUCGGUUUAUCGCCAUCUUGAUUCUAGCUAAACUGGAAAUGGCUUCUGGUUGUACGACCAGAUCGUAAUUGUGGAACUUUAACGGACGUUUCUCGUGAGAUCGAUGUUUCAAGGCGUGUCUGGUGAAAAGUCCCAGCCACGAAGUGCUGUUCCAUACGGCACCAGUAGAAUAGUACAACUAGUUAGCCC